rnacentral:rRNA from 1 species
UGGGGAAUCUUGCGCAAUGGGCGAAAGCCUGACGCAGCCAUGCCGCGUGAAUGAUGAAGGUCUUAGGAUUGUAAAAUUCUUUCACCGGGGGACGAUAAUGACGGUACCCGGAGAAGAAGCCCCGGCUAACUUCGUGCCAGCAGCCGCGGUAAUACGAAGGGGGCUAGCGUUGCUCGGAAUUACUGGGCGUAAAGGGCGCGUAGGCGGAUCGUUAAGUCAGAGGUGAAAUCCCAGGGCUCAACCCUGGAACUGCCUUUGAUACUGGCGAUCUUGAGUAUGAGAGAGGUAUGUGGAACUCCGAGUGUAGAGGUGAAAUUCGUAGAUAUUCGGAAGAACACCAGUGGCGAAGGCGACAUACUGGCUCAUUACUGACGCUGAGGCGCGAAAGCGUGGGGAGCAAACAGGAUUAGAUACCCUGGUAGUCCACGCCGUAAACGAUGAUUGCUAGUUGUCGGGCUGCAUGCAGUUCGGUGACGCAGCUAACGCAUUAAGCAAUCCGCCUGGGGAGUACGGUCGC